AGCAGCCGCGGUAAUUCCAGCUCCAAUAGCGUAUAUUAAAGUUGUUGCAGUUAAAAAGCUCGUAGUUGAAUUUCGGAAUCUGUCCGUUGGUCGGGCUUAACUGUCCGUACUGAUGUGAUGGGUUCUUACCUUCUGAAUAACCAUCAUGCCAUUAAUUUGGUGUGUUGGGGAAGCAGGACUAUUACCUUGAAAAAUUAGAGUGCUCAAAGCAGGCUAGCGCCUGAAUACAUUAGCAUGGAAUAAUAAAAUAGGACGGCAUGGUUCUAUUUUGUUGGUUUCUAGGAUCACCGUAAUGAUUAAUAGGGAUAGUUGGGGGCAUUAGUAUUCAAUUGUCAGAGGUGAAAUUCUUGGAUUUAUUGAAGACUAACUUCUGCGAAAGCAUUUGCCAAGGAUGUUUUCAUUAAUCAAGAACGAAAGUUAGGGGAUCGAAGACGAUCAGAUACCGUCGUAGUCUUAACCAUAAACUAUGCCGACUAGGGAUCGGACGAUGUUAAUUUUAUAAUGACUCGUUCGACG
rnacentral:rRNA from 1 species